CACUACCAUCAUGAGCACUGUGCCCCGGGAACGGCCAAAGAGGAAGAGGAGUGCCGGAAUUUUCCUCGAAACAGCAUCUUUUUAUUCCCCGUGUGUCCGGCAGCCCUGAAUAUUUUGUGGCUCUUCAAACAGGCACAGAAACUCGUCAGUGACCAACAAAUAUUCCCUCGGGCAACAAGAACAGACCCCGACGGCACCCGGCCGGACAACCAUGAGAAAUAUCAGCAAUACGACUGGAUCAGCUCCUGUCCCAUCAGUCCGGUUAUUAUCUACAAGCAGGCUGCACAUUAUGGGACGGGGACAAAUCCCUCCGCAAAUCUCUACGCCUUCAGCACCUAGCACGUGUUUUAUGCGAUGUAUAAACUGCGAUGUAGACUGUCUAUUAUUAUACAUAUACUGUAUAUUUGUGCGGCAGGGAUGGGAUCAUUUGGCUCAGCUUCGCAGUAAAAUCCGGCUCUUCGAUUUCUGCCAGUUAAGGCUGUUACCCGUCCCUUAUUACAAUGCUGCCUCACAUAUUAUACGGGACGGACGGAAACUCUUUUUAUAAUUCGGCUAGAAUUAACAAUUAAUGAUGAAUGUUGUAAGUUACCGCCUCGCUACAGACAUCAAACACGGUGCAUCGGGACCUUAUGAAUAAACGUAUGUUAUCAUCUUAA